AGGACGAACGCUGGCGGCGUGCUUAACACAUGCAAGUCGAGCGGAAAGGCCCUUCGGGGUACUCGAGCGGCGAACGGGUGAGUAACACGUGAGCAACCUGCCCUUGGCUCUGGGAUAGCCUCCGGAAACGGGGAUUAAUACCGGACAUUCACUGAUUCCUGCAUGGGGGGAUGGUGGAAAGUUUUUCGGCCAGGGAGGGGCUCGCGGCCUAUCAGCUUGUUGGCGGGGUAACGGCCCACCAAGGCGACGACGGGUAGCCGGCCUGAGAGGGCGAUCGGCCACACUGGGACUGAGACACGGCCCAGACUCCUACGGGAGGCAGCAGUGGGGAAUAUUGCACAAUGGGCGCAAGCCUGAUGCAGCGACGCCGCGUGGGGGAUGAAGGCCUUCGGGUUCGUAAACCCCUUUCACCAGGAACGAAUUCAGACGGUACCUGGGGAAGAAGCGCCGGCUAACUACGCGCCAGCAGCCGC
rnacentral:rRNA from 1 species